rnacentral:tmRNA from 1 species
GGGGCUGACUGGUUUUGACAGCAUUUGAAACGGAUAUGCCAGCAUGCCGGGCAAGGUAACAAGACCCGUAAAACCUGGUUACACACAAUUUUAAUUGGCGAAACUAAUUACGCUCUCGCAGUCUAAUCGAAGCACAGUAGAUGGGCUCUAUCCUCCGUCAAGGUUACGGGGGACGAGACGGCUCGCAGGUGGAGAUGUCUGAUUCCGGCCUGGUAACGAGUCGCAAGGAACUUCAGACUAGUCCCGGUGGCGCCUCACUGCCGGGAUGAAAUUCAAGAGGCUAAGGAAAUAUUUUGGGUGUUUGUCCCCGUGUAUUUCCCGACAAUCAAUGACAAACUAAGCAUGUAGAAAGCAUAUUGGUUCCGUGUUUGGACGAGGGUUCGAAUCCCUCCAGCUCCACAG